UGCAUAUCAAUUAAGCGGAGGAAAAGAAACCAACAGGGAUUACCUCAGUAACGGCGAGUGAAGCGGUAACAGCUCAAAUUUGAAAGCUGCCAACAGGCCGCGUUGUAAUUUGUAGAAGCUGCUUUGGGUGUCGGCCCGGUCUAAGUUCCUUGGAACAGGACGUCAUAGAGGGUGAGAAUCCCGUAUGUGAUCGGUGCCGUUGCCCGUGUAAUGCGCUUUCGACGAGUCGAGUUGUUUGGGAAUGCAGCUCAAAAUGGGUGGUAAAUUUCAUCUAAAGCUAAAUAUUGGCCAGAGACCGAUAGCGCACGAGUAGAGUGAUCGAAAGAUGAAAAGCACUUUGGAAAGAGAGUUAAACAGUACGUGAAAUUGUUGAAAGGGAAGCGCUUGCAACCAGACUUGCGGGCGGUCGAUCAUCCGAGGUUCUCCCCGGUGCACUCGAUCGUUCUCAGGCCAGCAUCGGUUUCCGGGGUGGGAUAAAGGCGGUGGGAAUGUGGCUCUUCGGAGUGUUAUAGCCCACCGUGCAAUGCCGCCACUGGGGACCGAGGACCGCGCUUCGGCUAGGAUGCUGGCGUAAUGGUUGUAAGCGACCCGUCUUGAAAACACGG
rnacentral:rRNA from 1 species